UACGUAGGGUGCAAGCGUUGUCCGGAAUUACUGGGCGUAAAGAGCUCGUAGGUGGUUUGUCGCGUUGUUCGUGAAAACUCACAGCUUAACUGUGGGCGUGCGGGCGAUACGGGCAGACUUGAGUACUGCAGGGGAGACUGGAAUUCCUGGUGUAGCGGUGGGAUGCGCAGAUAUCAGGAGGAACACCGGUGGCGAAGGCGGGUCUCUGGGCAGUAACUGACGCUGAGGAGCGAAAGCGUGGGGAGCGAACAGG
rnacentral:rRNA from 1 species